rnacentral:rRNA from 1 species
GACGAACGCUGGCGGCGUGCUUAACACAUGCAAGUCGAACGGUAAGGCCCUUCGGGGUACACGAGUGGCGAACGGGUGAGUAACACGUGGGUGAUCUGCCCUGCACUUCGGGAUAAGCCUGGGAAACUGGGUCUAAUACCGGAUAGGACCCUGGGAUGCAUGUCCUGGGGUGGAAAGCUUUUGCGGUGUGGGAUGGGCCCGCGGCCUAUCAGCUUGUUGGUGGGGUGAUGGCCUACCAAGGCGACGACGGGUAGCCGGCCUGAGAGGGUGACCGGCCACACUGGGACGGAGAUACGGCCCAGACUCCUACGGGAGGCAGCAGUUGGGAAUAUUGCACAAUGGGCGCAAGCCUGAUGCAGCGACGCCGCGUGAGGGAUGACGGCCUUCGGGUUGUAAACCUCUUUCAGCACCGACGAAGCGCAAGUGACGGUAGGUGCAGAAGAAGGACCGGCCAACUACGUGCCAGCCGCCGCAGUAA